rnacentral:rRNA from 1 species
UGCCAGCCGCCGCGGUAAUACGGAGGGUGCAAGCGUUGUUCGGAAUUAUUGGGCGUAAAGCGCGUGUAGGCGGUUCGUUAAGUCUGAUGUGAAAGCCCGGGGCUCAACCCCGGAAGUGCAUUGGAAACUGGCGAACUUGAGUACGGGAGAGGAAAGUGGAAUUCCGAGUGUAGCGGUGAAAUGCAUAGAUACCAUAAAGAACACCAAUUGCGUAGGCAGCUCACUAGACCAUAACUGACGCUGAGGCACGAAAGCGUGGGGAGCGAACAGGAUUAGAUA